UGUUUCGGCUAGGGGGUCAUCCCGACUUACCAACCCGAUGCAAACUACGAAUACCGAAGAAUGUUAUCACGGGAGACACACGGCGGGUGCUAACGUCCGUCGUGAAGAGGGAAACAACCCAGACCGCCAGCUAAGGUCCCAAAGUCACAGUUAAGUGGGAAACGAUGUGGGAAGGCACAGACAGCCAGGAUGUUGGCUUAGAAGCAGCCAUCAUUUAAAGAAAGCGUAAUAGCUCACUGGUCGAGUCGGCCUGCGCGGAAGAUGUAACGGGGCUAAACUGUGCACCGAAGCUGCGGCAGCGACACUAUGUGUUGUUGGGUAGGGGAGCGUUCUGUAAGCCUGCGAAGGUGGCCUGUGAGGGUUGCUGGAGGUAUCAGAAGUGCGAAUGCUGACAUAAGUAACGAUAAUGCGGGUGAAAAGCCCGCACGCCGGAAGACCAAGGGUUCCUGUCCAACGUUAAUCGGGGCAGGGUGAGUCGACCCCUAAGGCGAGGCCGAAAGGCGUAGUCGAUGGGAAACAGGUUAAUAUUCCUGUACUUGGUGUUACUGCGAAGGGGGGACGGAGAAGGCUAUGUUAGCCGGGCGACGGUUGUCCCGGUUUAAGCAUGUAGGCGGAGGUUCCAGGUAAAUCCGGUACCUUUUAACGCUGAGGUGUGAUGACGAGGCACUACGGUGCUGAAGUAACAAAUGCCCUGCUUCCAGGAAAAGCCUCUAAGCAUCAGGUAACAUU
rnacentral:rRNA from 1 species